GUAUUCACACGGGUAGCUCAUAUACUAAAAUUGGAAUGGUCCAGAUUAGCAUAGACCCUGCACAAGGAUGACACACAAAUUCAUGAAAGUGCUCCAUAUUUUU
rnacentral:snRNA from 1 species